UGUUGGUCCUCCCGCAAUGCUAACUUGUGAACUCGGUCAGGUCCGGAAGGAAGCAGCCGCAGCAGGCGACGCGUGUGCCGGGAUGU
rnacentral:SRP_RNA from 1 species